rnacentral:pre_miRNA from 1 species
ACGAACCCUUAGAUUCUGUCUUAUAUAAAUUUUUUUUAUAAUUAAUAUUUUUAUUGUUGUUAGAUGAUAAAACAUGAUUAAUACUUUAUACGUGACUUAUUUUUUUAAUUUUUUUAAUAUUUUUUUUAAAUAAGACGGACGUUGGACACGAAAAUUCAGG